UACGUAGGGGGCAAGCGUUGUCCGGAAUCAUUGGGCGUAAAGAGCGUGUAGGCGGCUCGAUAAGUCUGCUGUGAAAGUCCAGGGCUCAACCCUGGAAGGCCGGUGGAAACUGUCGGGCUAGAGUCCGGAAGAGGCGAGUGGAAUUCCCGGUGUAGCGGUGAAAUGCGCAGAUAUCGGGAGGAACACCAAUGGCGAAGGCAGCUCGCUGGGACGGUACUGACGCUGAGACGCGAAAGCGUGGGGAGCA
rnacentral:rRNA from 1 species